UGCAUUGCAUUCGAUGGGAAAUGCAAGAUGACUAUGCGAUACUCUUGCAAUCCUGGAACUUGACCCGAUGGCUUAUCUUCUCGCCCUCCUGUUAGUCAACUACAUUGAUAUCCCAGCUCUUGGGACGACUUCUCACCGACAUGGCGUUGAUAAUGAGCCAGCUGCUCAAUCGGAAUCGAAAACAAUGCUCGUCAGUGUUUUGGUUUCGAUUACGGUCUACAGUUCGCAUUCGGAUUCGUAUUCGCAUUCGCAUUCUCGUUUUCUGCUCUCCGUUCUUCUGAACAAAGAAUAGCCUGAUAAGACGCCAAAAACAACUGAAACAUCAGAAACAGCAGAAAUAGGCGAAGUGGUUGGCAGUGGGUAGUGGGUGGUAUGGGUGGCAGCAGCUGAAGCCAAAACACACUCACACACACACACACACUCACUGAAAUUCUCCGGCCAUAUGGCCAUAUGCAAAUAAUGCUGGCGGGUGGAAAAGCGUGGGGGCGGUUAUAAGAGGUUGGUGGGUGGUGCAUCAGAUAGAAUUAUCCGCAGUGCGCUAGCACGGGGAUAUUUAAGCAAAGAAAUCGCUUUAUUACAUUCACUUUGCGCCACGAAUCGCUUGAAAUGCAAUUCCGCCAGUGAUUCGGUGUCGGAUUUGGGUUUCCUUUUCGGAGUGUUCAUUUUUUGUGGCCUUAAAGACAGUUUGAUCCGACUUGUGUGCAUCUGAAUGGUCGCAUAACUUGGGGAUUCAUCAACAUGGUUGGGAGCUAUUUAAGAAGGUAUAACAAUAGAGCUACUAAAAAAACAACAAUCCUCUAUAGAUCCCCUUUAAGCUUUGAUAAUAGCACCAAUCUUAUAAAAAAAAACUAGUCAGUUGAUCAGACUUUUAUAUGGCCACAUAAUCCACAAUCCUAGGCAGUGACUUUAGCUUUCACCUUCCGGUUGGGGCUUCUGCGAGUCAGCUCUGCGAGGAAGGAGUCCGCUGGCUGCGAUGUUUCACUUGAUUUACAUAUGAAUCCGCAUAAAGCACGGCAGUCCGAAACUGCAAAGGAAUGUGGGCCAAGCCCCCAGUCCAUCCUCUUAACCCGCCGACGCCGCGCUCGGCCCCCCCUUAACCCAUCUGUAGACACAGCUGACGUUUAAAAACUUGACACAACGCUGCAUGCAAAAGUGGGUGGAUGGAGAUUGGGGAUGGGGUUGGGAUUGGGGGCCAGGAGGCGGCGGAGUGAAAGGGGGCGGUGGAGAAAUAAAAAUGGGAAAUGAAAAGAAAUGUAGGCGGAUGUGGGUACACUAAGAAAAAAAAUCACCAUCCUGCAGCAAAAGAUAAACGGAGGUAUGGGAAUUCUUUAAACAAGUUGACUAUUUGUAGCUGACGUAUGAAAAUUACCAUUU
ensembl:ncRNA lncRNA:CR42874 long non-coding RNA:CR42874